AUUGAACGCUGGCGGCAUGCCUUACACAUGCAAGUCGAACGGUAACGCGGGGCAACCUGGCGACGAGUGGCGAACGGGUGAGUAACGCAUCGGAACGUGCCCAGUAGUGGGGGAUAGCCCGGCGAAAGCCGGAUUAAUACCGCAUACGGCCUACGGGUGAAAGGGGGGGAUCGCAAGACCUCUCGCUAUUGGAGCGGCCGAUGUCAGAUUAGGUAGUUGGUGGGGUAAAGGCCUACCAAGCCGACGAUCUGUAGCUGGUCUGAGAGGACGACCAGCCAGACUGGGACUGAGACACGGCCCAGACUCCUACGGGAGGCAGCAGUGGGGAAUUUUGGACAAUGGGCGAAAGCCUGAUCCAGCCAUGCCGCGUGCGGGAAGAAGGCCUUCGGGUUGUGAACCGCUUUUGUCAGGGAAGAAAUCUUCUGGGUUAAUACCUCGGGAGGAUGACGGUACCUGAAGAAUAAGCACCGGCUAACUACGUGCCAGCCGCCGCGGUAA
rnacentral:rRNA from 1 species